CGCAAGCCUGAUGGAGCAACGCCGCGUGUGUGAUGAAGGCUUUCGGGUCUUAAAGCACUGUUGUAUGGGAAGAAUUGCUAGAAUAGGGAAUGAUUUUAGUUUGACGGUACCAUACCAGAAAGGGACGGCUAAAUACGUGCCAGCAGCCGCGGUAAUACG
rnacentral:rRNA from 1 species